rnacentral:rRNA from 1 species
AUACGGAGGGUCCAAGCGUUAUCCGGAUUCAUUGGGUUUAAAGGGUCCGCAGGCGGGAAAAUAAGUCAGUGGUGAAAGCCUACAGCUUCACUGUAGAACUGCCAUUGAUACUGUUUUUCUUGAGUAUAGAUGAAGUGGGCGGAAUAUAUCAUGUAGCGGCGAAAUGCAUAGAUAUGAUAUAGAACACCGAUUGCGAAGGCAGCUCACUAAACUAUUACUGACGCUCAGGGACGAAAGCGUGGGGAGCGAACAGGAUUAGAAACCCUAGUAGUCC